GUGAUUUUUGGAUUGGAAUCGAAAAUGUGAGAAGUUGUACCAACCUUGUGACUCCAAGUAAACGCUUGACUAAGUAAUUGAAAAACAUUUUGCUCUAAGUCUUGAACGGUACAAUUUUAGCAUAGUACGACUAAACAUAGUGUCUAAUAUUAUAUAUAUAUUUUUUUUGACUUAAAAACUUGGGCAACAUGACUUUUAACCCUUAAGUUAGACUAGCCUUAUUUAUUUGGGAAAAAUAACUCUCCAAGACUUAAAACCUUAGUUUGUUUCAAUUUCCUUCCUUCUUUAUAAAUCGUUUAAGGCUAGUUGUAACUAAGGAAAAGUUUUAAAGGGUGAGUCUUGAUCACCUUAGCUAUAUGUAUAGAAACUCGCUCGGCAAGAGAGACAUUAUUUUCUUUUAGCAAAACAGCUUUAGCAACGUUUGUAUAAGAAACCUUAUCUUGAAGCCUUAGCAAUAAAUUUUGCAAGCACCACCACUCAAAAGAACUUUUUCUCAAGGUAUACUCUUAGCCUCGAUAUUAAAUAGCUUGCCGACUUAUUUUAAGAAAAUAAUAAUAGUAUUUUCUUUAAGAAAAGUAUUCCAAGGAAAAACUAAAGGAAACAAUUCUUCUACUUUCGUCAAGAUUCAACCUAUGGAGAUUCUUGAUUUUUCUAAGGGAAAGUGAACUAGUAGUAUAUUAGAUAUACCUCUAUAUCUAUAAGCUUAAAGACUGAGUAGAAACUUAUAGUUUCAAAAUUUGGUUUUUAGGAUACUGCGAG
rnacentral:lncRNA from 1 species